rnacentral:tRNA from 1 species
GGCCUUGUGGCGGAAUUGGUAGACGCUGGGGACUUAAAAUCCCUUGCUCGGUAGAGCGUGUGGGUUCAAAUCCCACCUUGGUCA